UACGUAGGGGGCAAGCGUUGUCCGGAUUUAUUGGGCGUAAAGAGCUCGUAGGCGGUUUGGUAAGUCGGAUGUGAAAUCUCCAGGCUCAACCUGGAGGGGUCAUUCGAUACUGCCAUGACUAGAGUUCGGUAGGGGAGUGUGGAAUUCCUGGUGGAGCGGUGAAAUGCGCAGAUAUCAGGAGGAACACCCGUAGCGAAGGCGGCACUCUGGGCCGAUACUGACGCUGAGGAGCGAAAGCGUGGGGAGCAAACAGGAUUAGAAACCCCAGUAGUCC
rnacentral:rRNA from 1 species